rnacentral:rRNA from 1 species
UACAGGGGGGGCAAGCGUUGUUCGGAAUUACUGGGCGUAAAGGGCUCGUAGGUGGCCAACUAAGUCAGACGUGAAAUCCCUCAGCUUAACUGGGGAACUGCGUCUGAUACUGGAUGGCUUGAGUUUGGGAGAGGGAUGCGGAAUUCCAGGUGUAGCGGUGAAAUGCGUAGAUAUCUGGAGGAACACCGGUGGCGAAGGCGGCAUCCUGGACCGACAUUGACGCUGAGGAGCGAAAGCCAGGGGAGCAAACGGG